rnacentral:rRNA from 1 species
AUGCCUAACGAUCAACUUCCUGAUUUCAUGGAGGUGGACGAACAUAGAUACGAGUACGGGAAGCCUCUCGUCAAAGAUGAAAAAUCUCUAACAACGAUGAUGCGAAGAUCCCAUAAUUGGUACAUGAAAACAUGCAGAGAGUCUGGGGGGACGAAUAGUUUGUAUCUGAGAAUUAAAGAGGAGCACGACCUCGUUGGAACUGAUCUAUCGCCUGUUCCAUUUGAGGAGUUCUUCGAGUUCUUCAAUCAAAAGGCCAUCGAUAAAUUAACGGUCUUUUGCUACUGUCUAUUGAAGAUUGUCGAGUGCAGAAGACAAGAAAUGUAUGAUAUUGGGUUCAUUAACACAAAUAUCAUAGAUGAAAUUCAGGUUAAAAAGCACGCCGAAGAGGUCGAGGCCAACUUGCUACAAUCGUUGAUAAAAAAUCAAAACAAAGAUACCAUACUCUUUCCUUACAACUUCGAGUGA